rnacentral:misc_RNA from 1 species
AAGUCGUAACAAGGUUUCCGUAGGUGAACCUGCGGAAGGAUCAUUAUCGUAUGCUUGCGGCGUCGUUCAGGGCAACCUGGCGAUGCUCAGCUUGCCACCCUUGCCUACAUCACCAACUGUUACUUCCCUCGGUGGAUCCGUCCACCGCUGGGAAACCCAAACUCACUUGCAUCUAAGCAUCAACCGUCAAACAACCAUAAUAAUCACAACUUUCAACAAUGGAUCUCUUGGCUCUG